rnacentral:rRNA from 1 species
GGUUAAGCGACUAAGCGUACACGGUGGAUGCCCUGGCAGUCAGAGGCGAUGAAGGACGUGCUAAUCUGCGAAAAGCGUCGGUAAGGUGAUAUGAACCGUUAUAACCGGCGAUGUCCGAAUGGGGAAACCCAGUGCAAUUCGUUGCACUAUCGUUAACUGAAUACAUAGGUUAACGAGGCGAACCGGGGGAACUGAAACAUCUAAGUACCCCGAGGAAAAGAAAUCAACCGAGAUUCCCCCAGUAGCGGCGAGCGAACGGGGAGCAGCCCAGAGUCUGAAUCAGCUUGUGUGUUAGUGGAACGGUCUGGAAAGUCCGACGGUACAGGGUGAUAGUCCCGUACACCAAAAUGCACAGGCUGUGAACUCGAAGAGUAGGGCGGGACACGUGGUAUCCUGUCUGAAUAUGGGGGGACCAUCCUCCAAGGCUAAAUACUCCUGACUGACCGAUAGUGAACCAGUACCGUGAGGGAAAGGCGAAAAGAACCCCGGCGAGGGGAGUGAAAAAGAACCUGAAACCGUGUACGUACAAGCAGUGGGAGCACCUUCGGGUGUGACUGCGUACCUUUUGUAUAAUGGGUCAGCGACUUAUAUUCUGUAGCAAGGUUAACCGUAUAGGGGAGCCGCAGGGAAACCGAGUCUUAACUGGGCGUUAAGUUGCAGGGUAUAGACCCGAAACCCGGUGAUCUAGCCAUGGGCAGGUUGAAGGUUGGGUAACACUAACUGGAGGACCGAACCGACUAAUGUUGAAAAAUUAGCGGAUGACUUGUGGCUGGGGGUGAAAGGCCAAUCAAACCGGGAGAUAGCUGGUUCUCCCCGAAAGCUAUUUAGGUAGCGCCUCGUGAACUCAUCUUCGGGGGUAGAGCACUGUUUCGGCUAGGGGGUCAUCCCGACUUACCAACCCGAUGCAAACUACGAAUACCGAAGAAUGUUAUCACGGGAGACACACGGCGGGUGCUAACGUCCGUCGUGAAGAGGGAAACAACCCAGACCGCCAGCUAAGGUCCCAAAGUCAUGGUUAAGUGGGAAACGAUGUGGGAAGGCACAGACAGCCAGGAUGUUGGCUUAGAAGCAGCCAUCAUUUAAAGAAAGCGUAAUAGCUCACUGGUCGAGUCGGCCUGCGCGGAAGAUGUAACGGGGCUAAACCAUGCACCGAAGCUGCGGCAGCGACACUAUGUGUUGUUGGGUAGGGGAGCGUUCUGUAAGCCUGCGAAGGUGACCUGUGAGGGUUGCUGGAGGUAUCAGAAGUGCGAAUGCUGACAUAAGUAACGAUAAAGCGGGUGAAAAGCCCGCUCGCCGGAAGACCAAGGGUUCCUGUCCAACGUUAAUCGGGGCAGGGUGAGUCGACCCCUAAGGCGAGGCCGAAAGGCGUAGUCGAUGGGAAACAGGUUAAUAUUCCUGUACUUGGUGUUACUGCGAAGGGGGGACGGAGAAGGCUAUGUUAGCCGGGCGACGGUUGUCCCGGUUUAAGCAUGUAGGCUGGUUGUCCAGGCAAAUCCGGAUAAUCAAGGCUGAGGUGUGAUGACGAGGCACUACGGUGCUGAAGUAACAAAUGCCCUGCUUCCAGGAAAAGCCUCUAAGCAUCAGGUAACAUCAAAUCGUACCCCAAACCGACACAGGUGGUCAGGUAGAGAAUACCAAGGCGCUUGAGAGAACUCGGGUGAAGGAACUAGGCAAAAUGGUGCCGUAACUUCGGGAGAAGGCACGCUGGUGUGUAGGUGAAGCCCCUGCGGGUGGAGCUGAGACCAGUCGAAGAUACCAGCUGGCUGCAACUGUUUAUUAAAAACACAGCACUGUGCAAACACGAAAGUGGACGUAUACGGUGUGACGCCUGCCCGGUGCCGGAAGGUUAAUUGAUGGGGUUAUCCGUAAGGAGAAGCUCUUGAUCGAAGCCCCGGUAAACGGCGGCCGUAACUAUAACGGUCCUAAGGUAGCGAAAUUCCUUGUCGGGUAAGUUCCGACCUGCACGAAUGGCGUAAUGAUGGCCAGGCUGUCUCCACCCGAGACUCAGUGAAAUUGAACUCGCUGUGAAGAUGCAGUGUACCCGCGGCAAGACGGAAAGACCCCGUGAACCUUUACUAUAGCUUGACACUGAACAUUGAGCCUUGAUGUGUAGGAUAGGUGGGAGGCUUUGAAGCGUGGACGCCAGUCUGCGUGGAGCCAACCUUGAAAUACCACCCUUUAAUGUUUGAUGUUCUAACGUUGGCCCCUGACCGGGGUUGCGGACAGUGUCUGGUGGGUAGUUUGACUGGGGCGGUCUCCUCCCAAAGCGUAACGGAGGAGCACGAAGGUUAGCUAAUCCUGGUCGGACAUCAGGAGGUUAGUGCAAUGGCAUAAGCUAGCUUGACUGCGAGCGUGACGGCGCGAGCAGGUGCGAAAGCAGGUCAUAGUGAUCCGGUGGUUCUGAAUGGAAGGGCCAUCGCUCAACGGAUAAAAGGUACUCCGGGGAUAACAGGCUGAUACCGCCCAAGAGUUCAUAUCGACGGCGGUGUUUGGCACCUCGAUGUCGGCUCAUCACAUCCUGGGGCUGAAGUAGGUCCCAAGGGUAUGGCUGUUCGCCAUUUAAAGUGGUACGCGAGCUGGGUUUAGAACGUCGUGAGACAGUUCGGUCCCUAUCUGCCGUGGGCGCUGGAGAAUUGAGGGGGGCUGCUCCUAGUACGAGAGGACCGGAGUGGACGCAUCACUGGUGUUCGGGUUGUCAUGCCAAUGGCACUGCCCGGUAGCUAAAUGCGGAAGAGAUAAGUGCUGAAAGCAUCUAAGCACGAAACUUGCCCCGAGAUGAGUUCUCCCUGAGACUUUAAGUCUCCUGAAGGAACGUUAAAGACGAUGACGUUGAUAGGCCGGGUGUGUAAGCGCAGCGAUGCGUUGAGCUAACCGGUACUAAUGAACCGUGAGGCUUAACCUU